rnacentral:lncRNA from 1 species
GGAAGGGUUGGUUAAAAAAACAAAAACGGGAUUCAGCCAUGACAGUGCUGCUUUAAGUAGUCUGGGUGCCAGGAGACCUCUGUGAGCACUCUUAGCUUAAGGGGAUAAAUUGUUCUCAAACAGUUUAACCCCAAAGUUUGCCUCCAGCGCCAAUCUGCAUGGAAGUGCAGAGUGCUUCCUGUAAAUGAUGGACCCAUCUUAGAAUUCACAAAUAAUAAAAGAAAUCGAGUUGCAACAUAAAACACCAACCAACAAUAAAAGACAUUUUUCAAAAACACACUAAGUGGUAAAAUUCUGAUGAAAAAGAAAAAUCCCAAAUGAUGACAGAUAACCAACCAUUUACAAUGACUGACUUGAAGCACUCGAUGUCCAUAGCUGAGCCAAGAUACUCACUGAAGAAUGAAAAGUAUAACAGAAAUGAAAUGCCGGUAAAGAUUCAAGGUGGUUCAGAAAGUAAAAACUAUGCUGUAACCAGAGAAUGUUGGUAAAUCACUCUCAUUCAUUACUGACUGCUGGUCCAGAUUAAUAGAGUCACUAAUGACUCUUACGUGUCACUUCAUUGGCAAUGGGUGGACAAAAAGGCCGUUGGUGUUGAAAUACAAAGGUGAUGCAAGGGUCCCACACUGGCGCAUACAUUCAAGAUACGUUUCUAGGCAUGCUUGAUGACUAGGGGAUAAGCAAAGAUCGAAUGAUGAUUGUGCUUAGAGAAAGCGGAGCACACAUGGUGAAAGGAAUGAGACUUGCUGAGAUUUCAUACCUCAGCUGCAUGGCACACACCAUGUAACCGGUGGUAAAUAAUGGUCUCUAAAGCCAGAGAACUGUGAUUGACAUUGUUGCCAUGCUAAAGAAAUGGGCAAGCCAUUGCCACCAUUCAGUCAUUGCCAAGCAACGACUGAAGAGCAUUCAAGAAGACCUUGGCCUGCCCAAAACCAACCAGAUUCCACCCAUCCACGUGCUGCAAAGAAUUCUUGAACAGAAGGAAACUCUUAGCAUCUUUUCAGGUGAACAUGGAGGAUAUUCUUGUCCUAAUGCUGAUCAGUGGGACAUUGUAGCCAAUCUCAUUGAGACUUAGAAGUAAGUCAUUACAACUCAUCUUUAUCGUCUGUGAUUCCAUGUGUGAGAGAGCUGAAGAUAGUUUUUCAAGAAAAUGAAGGGCCCACUACACGUGGCAUUAAAACACUCACGCAGGUCACGAGGGACAGCUUCAAAAAGUAAUAUUGAGAAGAGAAUAAAAAUAUGGUGGUGGCAUGUCUUGUAGUUCCUCGAAUCAUGCUUUGUCUUCUGAUAACGUAUUGGCCAGGUCAAAAGUAUGGCUCACAGAAGAUAUUCAAUAGGAGGUGCAGGUUCUUCUUACUGGAAAGUCAUGCUACAAGCCUGGAAGAGCAGGAUGCUACAGAAACAAAUUCCCAAAAAGAAAACAUGCGGGGAAAAAACAAGAGUCUUCAUCGUGGCCAAAUUGAUGCCAUGUUCAAUGUUUUAUUGGGGCUUUGUGUAACUGUACCAAAGUAACCCUUGAUGAUGAGCUUCAUCUCUGUUUGAAGGAACCAAUGAUUG